ACAAGCCCAAACCAACGCCACACACGCAUCGGCACCGUCUUCGGGGUGCUGCGUCCGUUUCCGCCAAUCCCAGGAAACGCCGCGGUCGAAGCCGGGGAUGCGUGGAGGUCCCAAC
rnacentral:sRNA from 1 species